rnacentral:lncRNA from 1 species
CCGGAGUCGCCCACUUGCCGGAGCUGGAAGCCGAGGCGGACCUCGCGGGGGCUCUUACCGCUCCGGGGGCUGCCCGGCGCCGCGGGCCUGCUCCGGCAAAGGCCGGGAGAGGGGUGGGCCGGGCGCCCCCGGGGAGAGCUGACUGCCUGGGGGGGGGGGGGUGCGCAGUGCACCCGGCUCCCCCCCUCCCCCCAGAACACGGUGCCUGCAGUUUCAAAUCGCUCUCCGAGAUCCUCCGUUUCCGUGGGUGCAUCUUCCAGGGCUCCGGGGGCGAACCCGGUGUGCACCCCAUCCCCAGCGCCCGAUGCCCAGCAGGUACCCAGUGGAGAUUGGACUAAUUUUAAAGAAAUACGCUAAGGAGCCCCGAGAAACCCUGUGUGGGAAAGGAGACCAUCGACCCCAGGCACGUUGUGCCCAGCAAGGUGAAAACCAAAGGGCACCGGCUGUCUGGUACGAUUUGACCUGAAAAUGUGAACUUUGAGCCAGGUUCCAGAGGCUUCCCCUGAGCAAGGGAGGGGGAGCUGUGACUCACGAGCUUCCCUAAGCUCCUGGGCCCCGCUGGCCUCUCCAUCACAUAUCUCCACCCACGUGGCCACUCUGUGCCCGGCCACACUGAAUUCCAGCUGCAGGCCACCCCACCUGCCACUCCCGACUCUCUCCCUCCCCUCCUGCCUAGCUGACUCCCGUUCACUUUGCAGAUCUUGGCUCAGAUACUACAACAGGCAGCCUCUAAGCUGGCCCCCCACUGAACCCUGCCUCCUACCAUUAAUGCUCUUGGGAUUUGGAAGAACAGAACGUGGCAGAAGCAGCCAUGUUUUGAACUGGCCUGCGAUGAGGGCCGCGUGACCGGGAACAGAGGGAGGCCUCCAGCCAGAAGCCUGUGAAGAACUGAAUCCUGUCAGCAACCAUGUCAGUGAGCUUGGCAUCGGAUCCUCCCCCAGCUGAGCCUUCAGAUGAGUUGGCAGCCCCAGCAGUCAGGUCAGCGUUUCCUGCCUCCUCCUGGAAGACCUUCAGCCCUGAGGCAGCCGGUUAAGCCACGCCUGGAUUCAUGACCCAAAGAAACUGUGAG